AGUGAACGCUGGCGGUAGGCCUAACACAUGCAAGUCGAACGGCAGCACAGGAGAGCUUGCUCUCUGGGUGGCGAGUGGCGGACGGGUGAGGAAUACAUCGGAGUCUACUCUGUCGUGGGGGAUAACGUAGGGAAACUUACGCUAAUACCGCAUACGACCUACGGGUGAAAGCAGGGGACCUUCGGGCCUUGCGCGAUUGAAUGAGCCGAGGUCGGAUUAGCUAGUUGGCGGGGUAAAGGCCCACCAAGGCGACGAUCCGUAGCUGGUCUGAGAGGAUGAUCAGCCACACUGGAACUGAGACACGGUCCAGACUCCUACGGGAGGCAGCAGUGGGGAAUAUUGGAAAAUGGGCGCAAGCCAGAUCCAGCCAUACCGCGUGGGUGAAGAAGGCCUUCGGGUUGUAAAGCCCUUUUGUUGGGAAAGAAAUCCAGCUGGCUAAUACCCGGUUGGGAUGACGGUACCCAAAGAAUAAGCACCGGCUAACUUCGUGCCAGCAGCCGCCGUAA
rnacentral:rRNA from 1 species